GUUUUGAAGUUGAGAAAUACAAGUUUCCUUUUGUUCACUUCCUUCUCCCUAUUAGUGUUGUCCUCCUUAAAAGCCUUAGCCAAUCAAAAUUAGUAAACCCUUCUUUCAUCCAACAAUAGUAGACUAGUAUCCUUGUAUGUUUUUUAGAUUGCAUGUUUGAUUACUAGAUGCAUUACCAUUUGGUACAGUCUUGUCGGGGACUAGAAAAGUUAUUUGAAUUAACACUUUCGACUUUUUCCUGUCCCAGGUGAUAAUUCUAUGCGAUAAAAUAAAACUUCCUUUUACCCCUCUCCUUUCACCCAGGGAGGAAUGUGGUUAUGACUUAUGGUGUUCUUUCUUGAUGAUAUUUAAAAAAAUUUAGAACUUGGCAAAGAACUGGGCUGAAUCAGCUUGGAAAACAAAGUUAGAUUGCCUUUUCAUUCCUGCAAUCAAUAAAAUGGUUCUAAAAUUUUGAAGUUGGCACUCAACUGGACUUGUUAUUCUACCUUGUAAGUUUUCAUCUCAGUUCUUUAUCCUUUCGAGUAUCCUAACUCAUUGCCUGGAGAUAAAAUUUAAGCAAUAAUGUUAUUGAAAGACAAACCCUCGAUUCAUUGCCUUGAUCAUUCUAGCAGUUAAUGGUAAAAUCUAGUUGAUGAUGGACUUAGGUAGCAUCAUUGGGUUGGGAUCAUUAUGGAGUAGAUACUAUUGUCAAGAGAAAACGUGCAGGUUCAGUACCAAACUCGGAAAUAUUUUGCUCAUAAACAUUGUUAAAUCACUAGUGAUAAUCUUUUGUUAUGAAAACUGCCUAUAUGCAUGUUGUUGCCAAUGCAGCUUGGGAAGGGAUUUCUGGUAGGAAUUAGAAUUCUUUUCAGUGAUUUAAAUAUUGAUAUGUUACGAGGAAUCCAUGAGCAUGAUCAUCAUUUUUAAUGCCUUUCGGUAUCAUCUUUUGAUGAAUUAAAUUAUAUAAACUUUCCUUGUAAUAGAUUGAGGAAAAGAUUACCUGAUCUGAAGGAAGAGAUGGAGAAGCAGCUUGUGGACUUAUUAUCAGAAGAGCUCAAACAGCAAGAAACUGUCAGCGAAGAGCACUCCCAACGUAUGAACGUCAAGUUUGGAGAGGCUAAAAGGCUGAGAAAUGCAAUACUGCCACAGAAAUGUGUGAGUCAGCCAGGGAACGAGCUGUGGCACACCUCGGUUGGGAAGGGAAUAGUUACUGCUAACAACAUUAUUUCUGAUUCUCUCUCUUUCUCUCUGGGGUUUAUGUUAAAAUUUAAAUGUAAUUAUGCAAAUGAAAAGUCAGGUCCUGGUUAAGUGAAGGGGCAUUGGCUUGUGCUUUUGGGCUUGGCAAUGGAUAAGGUUUGAAUAAUUUACAGAUUUAUUUUAAAAUAAAAUUGUG
rnacentral:lncRNA from 1 species